GACGUAGGGCGCGAGCGUUGUCCGGAUUUAUUGGGCGUAAAGAGCUCGUAGGCGGUCUGUUGCGUCCGCUGUGAAAACUCGGGGCUUAACCCCGAGCCUGCAGUGGAUACGGGCAGACUAGAGGUAGGUAGGGGAGAAUGGAAUUCCCGGUGUAGCGGUGAAAAUGCGCAGAUAUCGGGAGGAACACCGGUGGCGAAGGCGGUUCUCUGGGCCUUACCUGACGCUGAGGAGCGAAAGCGUGGGGAGCGAACAGG
rnacentral:rRNA from 1 species